UACGGAGGGAGCUAGCGUUAUUCGGAAUUACUGGGCGUAAAGCGCACGUAGGCGGCUUUGUAAGUUAGAGGUGAAAGCCUGGAGCUCAACUCCAGAACUGCCUUUAAGACUGCAUCGCUUGAAUCCAGGAGAGGUGAGUGGAAUUCCGAGUGUAGAGGUGAAAUUCGUAGAUAUUCGGAAGAACACCAGUGGCGAAGGCGGCUCUCUGGACCGAGACUGACGCUGAGGCGCGAAAGCGUGGGGAGCAAACAGG
rnacentral:rRNA from 1 species